rnacentral:hammerhead_ribozyme from 1 species
AAGCGAAACACGGGCAUGAGUGCCCGUGUCUGCUGGGUGUCGUGAUCCAGUACUGAUGAGCAGCGAGAA